CCGAUCAUAGCUCAGUUGGAAGAGCGUCAGACUGUAAUCGAGUUGAUAUCUGAAUGUCCCCGGUUCGAUCCCGGGUGAUCGGA